rnacentral:rRNA from 1 species
GGCUAGGGCAUACACCAAUGUACCAAACCCUAUCAAACUCCGAAUACCUUUAGUGUAAUCACAGCAGUCAGGCGGCGAGUGAUAAAAUCCGUCGUCAAGAGGGAAACAACCCAGACUAACAGCUAAGGUCCCCAAAUCUUACUUAAGUGGAAAACGAUGUGAAGUUACUUAAACAACCAGGAGGUUGGCUUAGAAGCAGCCAUCCUUUAAAGAAAGCGUAAUAGCUCACUGGUCUAGUGAUUUUGCGCGGAAAAUAUAACGGGGCUAAAGUAAGUACCGAAGCUUUAGACUUGCACACAACUUAGAUGAUUUAAAUUUGGAAUAUGAGAAGCUAAAUUUAUUUUUAUUUAUUUUUGCUUAUCUUUAUUCAUUUUUAUAGAGUAAAGAUAAAAACAAAAACUUCGUAAAAAUAAUAAAAUAUAGUAAAAAACAAUAAAAAUAUUCUUAGAUUAAAAGUUAAGUCGUUUAAGUUGUGUGCAAGUGGUAGGAGAGCGUUCUAUUUGCGUCGAAGGUAUACCGACAAGGAGUGCUGGAGCGAAUAGAAGUGAGCAUGCAGGCAUGAGUAGCGAUAAUUAAUGUGAGAAUCAUUAACGCCGUAAACCCAAGGUUUCCUACGCGAUGCUCGUCAUCGUAGGGUUAGUCGGGUCCUAAGCUGAGUCCGAAAGGGGUAAGCGAUGGCAAAUAGGUUAAUAUUCCUAUACCAACAUUAGUGUGCG